rnacentral:rRNA from 1 species
CCUUUACUAUAGCUUGACACUGAACAUUGAGCCUUGAUGUGUAGGAUAGGUGGGAGGCUUUGAAGCGUGGACGCCAGUCUGCGUGGAGCCAACCUUGAAAUACCACCCUUUAAUGUUUGAUGUUCUAACGUGGGCCCCUAAUCGGGGUUGCGGACAGUGUCUGGUGGGUAGUUUGACUGGGGCGGUCUCCUCCCAAAGCGUAACGGAGGAGCACGAAGGUUAGCUAAUCCUGGUCGGACAUCAGGAGGUUAGUGCAAUGGCAUAAGC